rnacentral:rRNA from 1 species
UACGUAUGGGGCAAGCGUUGUUCGGAAUUAUUGGGCGUAAAGGGCGUCUAGGCGGGGGAUUAAGUUAGAUGUGAAAGCUAUGGGCUCAACCCAUAAACUGCAUCUAAGACUGGUUCUCUUGAGUUCGGGAGAGGAGAGCGGAAUUCCAGGUGUAGCGGUGAAAUGCGUAGAUAUCUGGAAGAACACCAGUGGCGAAGGCGGCUCUCUGGCCUAGAACUGACGCUGAAGCGCGAAAGCGUGGGGAG